UUUCCCCUAUCACUCAGGCACUGGCAGGGUCCUUGGCCCACUCCUGUUGGCCGCCGCGGCUCCAAAGCGAGCUGGGCAGAUGUGCCUGAGACAGGUUUGACCAGGCAACUGAAAAGACAUCCCUAAGGGAAGACAAAGCAAAGGUAUGAAAGGAACACACGUCCCUGACUGACUAGGAGGAACAGAGCUGCCUGCUGUCUGGAACCGCUUCCUCCCAGACUAAGUGAGGCCCGGAGACAAGAUAUGACUUGCUUAAGGUCACACACUUAGUUUCUCUGUCAAUCUUUCUAAAUCGAGGACGAGUUCUCU
rnacentral:lncRNA from 1 species